CAGAGCGAGGCAAAGCCGCGAGGCGGAGCGAAUCGCUAAAAGCCGUCCCAGUUCGGAUUGCAGGCUGCAACCCGCCUGCAUGAAGUUGGAAUCGCUAGUAAUCGCGGAUCAGCAUGCCGCGGUGAAUACGUUCCCGGGCCUUGUACACACCGCCCGUCACACCAUGAGAGUCGGGAACACCCGAAGUCCGUAGCCUGACCGCAAGGGGGGCGCGGCCGAAGGUGGGUUCGAUAAUUGGGGUGAAGUCGUAACAAGGUAAC
rnacentral:rRNA from 1 species